rnacentral:rRNA from 1 species
UACGUAGGGCGCAAGCGUUGUCCGGAAUUAUUGGGCGUAAAGAGCGCGCAGGCGGCUUGGUAAGUCGGAUGUGAAAUCCCGAGGCUCAACCUCGGGUCUGCAUCCGAUACUGCCCGGCUAGAGGUAGGUAGGGGAGAUCGGAAUUCCUGGUGUAGCGGUGAAAUGCGCAGAUAUCAGGAGGAACACCGGUGGCGAAGGCGGAUCUCUGGGCCUUACCUGACGCUCAGGCGCGAAAGCUAGGGGAGCGAACUGG